GAUAAACGCUGGCGGCGUGCUUAACACAUGCAAGUCGAACGAAGUUUUUCUUUCGGAGGAACUUAGUGGCGGCCGGGUGAGUAACGCGUGGGUAACCUGCCCUGUACAGGGGGACAACAGCUGGAAACGGCUGCUAAUACCGCAUAAGCCCUUAGCACUGCAUGGUGCAUAGGGAAAAGGAGCAAUCCGGUCCAGGAUGGACCCGCGUCUGAUUAGCCAGUUGGUAGGGUAACGGCCUACCAAAGCGACGAUCAGUAACCGGUCUGAGAGGAUGUACAGCCACACUGGAACUGAGACAGGGUCCAGACUUCUGGGGUAGGCAGCAGUGGGGAAUAUUGGACAAGGGGCGAAAGCCUGAUCCAGCCAUGCCGCGUGGGUGAAGAAGGUCUUAGGAUUGGAAAGCAAUUUAAGUUGGGAGGAAGGGCAGUAAGUGAAUACCUUGCUGUUUUGACGUUACCAACAGAAUAAGCACCGGCUAACUUCGUG
rnacentral:rRNA from 1 species